rnacentral:rRNA from 1 species
UACGUAGGGAGCGAGCGUUGUCCGGAUUCAUUGGGCGUAAAGAGCUCGUAGGCGGUUCGGUAAGUCCGGGGUGUGAAAACCCCAGGCUCAACCUGGGGACGCCACCCGAUACUGCUGGUGACUUGAGUCUGGUAGGGGAGCACGGAAUUCCAGGUGUAGCGGUGAAAUGGCGUAGAUAGUCUGGAGGAACACCGGUGGCGAAGGCGGCAUCCUGGACCGGUAUUGACGGCUGAGG